rnacentral:rRNA from 1 species
CGCGGCCUAUCAGCUUGUUGGUGAGGUAAUGGCUCACCAAGGCUUCGACGGGUAGCCGGCCUGAGAGGGCGACCGGCCACACUGGGACUGAGAUACGGCCCAGACUCCUACGGGAGGCAGCAGUGGGGAAUAUUGCACAAUGGGCGCAAGCCUGAUGCAGCAACGCCGCGUGCGGGAUGACGGCCUUCGGGUUGUAAACCGCUUUCAGUAGGGACGAAGCUAACGUGACGGUACCUACAGAAGAAGGACCGGCUAACUACGUGCCAGCAGCCGCGGUGAUACGUAGGGUCCGAGCGUUGUCCGGAAUUAUUGGGCGUAAAGGGCUUGUAGGCGGUCCGUCGCGUCAGGAGUGAAAACUCGGGGCUUAACCCCGAGCCUGCUUUUGACACGGGCGGACUAGAGGGAUGCAGGGGAGAACGGAAUUCCUGGUGGAGCGGUGGAAUGCGCAGAUAUCAGGAGGAACACCGGUGGCGAAGGCGGUUCUCUGGGCAUCACCUGACGCUGAGAAGCGAAAGCGUGGGGAGCAAACAGGCUUAGAUACCCUGGUAGUCCACGCCGUAAACGGUGGGCACUAGGUGUGGGGGACAUUCCACGUUCUCCGUGCCGAAGCUAACGCAUUAAGUGCCCCGCCUGGGGAGUACGG